UUGGAGGGCAAGUCUGGUGCCAGCAGCCGCGGUAAUUCCAGCUCCAAUAGCGUAUAUUAAAGUUGUUGCAGUUAAAAAGCUCGUAGUUGAAUUUCGGGAUCAGAGUGUCGGUCGUGCCUCGGUACGCACUGGUAUUAUUGGUUCCUACCUUCUGAAGAACCGCGAUGUCAUUAAUUUGGUGUCGUGGGGAAUCAGGACUGUUACUUUGAAAAAAUUAGAGUGUUUAAAGCAGGCUUACGCUUGAAUACAUUAGCAUGGAAUAAUAAAAUAGGACGGCAUGAUUCUAUUUUGUUGGUUUCUAGGAUCACCGUAAUGAUUAAUAGGGAUAGUUGGGGGCAUUAGUAUUCAAUUGUCAGAGGUGAAAUUCUUGGAUUUAUUGAGGACUAACUACUGCGAAAGCAUUUGCCAAGGAUGUUUUCAUUAAUCAAGAACGAAAGUUAGGGGAUCGAAGACGAUCAGAUACCGUCGUAGUCUUAACCAUAAACUAUGCCGACUAGGAAUCAGACGAUGUUAAUUUUUUAAUGACUCGUUUGGCACCUUACGGGAAACCAAAGUGUUUGGGUUC
rnacentral:rRNA from 1 species